UCGUACCAUGGAGGCGCUUGGGUUGUCGCUGACCUUUCCGAAAGGUCGUGCACGCCCGAGCGCUUUCAAUCCAUUUCACCCUUUGUGCAUCACCGCGCGGGGUCUCUUCCGAGAGGCUCGCGUUUUUCACACAUAAACAACACCCUUAUAGUUUAGAAUGUCAUUCAUUUGCGGUCACACGCAAUCAAUA
rnacentral:misc_RNA from 1 species